AGCCUGAUGCAGCCAUGCCGCGUGUAUGAAGAAGGCCUUCGGGUUGUAAAGUACUUUCAGCGAGGAGGAAGGCGGUGAGGUUAAUAACCUCAUCGAUUGACGUUACUCGCAGAAGAAGCACCGGCUAACUCCGUGCCAGCAGCCGCGGUAAUACGUAGGUGGCGAGCGUUGUCCGGAUUUACUGGGCGUAAAGGGUGCGUAGGCGGAUGUUUAAGUGAGAUGUGAAAUACCCGGGCUUAACCCGGGGGCUGCAUUUCAAACUGGACAUCUGGAGUGCAGGAGAGGAGAAUGGAAUUCCUAGUGUAGCGGUGAAAUGCGUAGAGAUUAGGAAGAACACCAGUGGCGAAGGCGAUUCUCUGGACUGUAACUGACGCUGAGGCACGAAAGCGUGGGUAGCAAACA
rnacentral:rRNA from 1 species